UACGAAGGGGGCUAGCGUUGUUCGGAAUCACUGGGCGUAAAGCGCACGUAGGCGGAUUUUUAAGUCAGGGGUGAAAUCCCGGGGCUCAACCUCGGAACUGCCUUUGAUACUGGAGAUCUUGAGUCCGGAAGAGGUAAGUGGAACUGCGAGUGUAGAGGUGAAAUUCGUAGAUAUUCGCAAGAACACCAGUGGCGAAGGCGGCUCACUGGCCCGGUACUGACGCUGAGGUGCGAAAGCGUGGGGAGCAAACAGG
rnacentral:rRNA from 1 species